GCGGGGGUUGCCAAGCCAGGUCAAAGGCGCAGGCCUGUAACGCCUGUCCCGAAGAUGAAGAUCGGAAGGGUUCGUGGGUUCGAAUCCCACCCCCCGCA
rnacentral:tRNA from 1 species